rnacentral:rRNA from 1 species
AGCCUUAGGAAAAUUUAAUCUAAGGUUUUACCUGCCCAAUGUAACAUUAUAUCAAUGGCCGCGGUACUUUGACCGUGCUAAGGUAGCGCAAUCAAUUGGCUUUUAAUUGUAGUCAGGUAUGAAUGGAGUUACGGGGUUUAACUGUCUCCUAUUUAAUUUAUUGAAAUUACUAUUCAGGUGAAAAAGCCUGAGGAUUUAAAAAGGACGAGAAGACCCUUAGAGUUUAUCUCAUAUUAAAAUAUUUUUUUAAUUCAGUUUUGUUGGGGCAACAUAGGAUCAAUUUAACAUCCUAAAUUAUAUAAGCCGACAGUUAUAAGUUUGAACAAACUACCUUAGGGAUAACAGCAUAAUUUUAUUAAUAAGUUUGUGACCUCGAUGUUGGACUAGGAAACUAAAAGGCUAGCCGCCUUUUUGGUAAGCUCUGUUCGAGCUAUUAUUCCU